rnacentral:rRNA from 1 species
UACAGAGGUCUCAAGCGUUGUUCGGAUUCAUUGGGCGUAAAGAGCUCGUAGGUGGUUUGUCGCGUCUGCCGUGAAAGCCCGGGGCUUAACUCCGGGUCUGCGGUGGAUACGGGCAGACUAGAGGCAGGUAGGGGAGAACGGAAUUCCCGGUGUAGCGGUGAAAUGCGCAGAUAUCGGAGGAACACCGGUGGCGAAGGCGGUUCUCUGGGCCUGUACUGACGUUCAGGCACGAAAGCGUGGGGAGCAAACAGG